AUUGACCGCUGGCGGCAGGCCUAACACAUGCAAGUCGAACGAGUGGCGGACGGGUGAGUAAUGUCUGGGAAACUGCCCGAUGGACGGGGAUACCUACUGGAAACGGUAGCUAAUACCGCAUACCCUCGGAUGUGCCCAGAUGGGAUUAGCUAGUAGGUGGGGUAAAGGCUCCCCUAGGCGACGAUCCCUAGCUGGUCUGAGAGGAUGACCAGACACACGGGAAAGGAGACACGGUCCAGACUCCGACGGGAGGCAGAAGUGGGGAAUAUUGCACAAGGGGCGCAAGCCUGAUGCAGCCAUGCCGCGUGUAUGAAGAAGGCCUUCGGGUUGUAAAGUACUUUCAGCGGGGAGGCGUUACCCGCAGAAGAAGCACCGGCUAACUCCGUGCCAGCAGCCGCGGUAAUUC
rnacentral:rRNA from 1 species